UAAGGAAUAUUGGUCAAUGGACGCAAGUCUGAACCAGCCAUGCCGCGUGAAGGAUGAAGGUCCUCUGGAUUGUAAACUUCUUUUAUCUGGGACGAAAACGGGAUUUUUAUCUCAAUUGACGGUACCAGAGGAAUAAGCACCGGCUAACUCCGUGCCAGCAGCCGCGGUAAUACGGAGGGUGCGAGCGUUAUCCGGAUUUACUGGGUUUAAAGGGUGCGUAGGUGGGCUUAUAAGUCAGUGGUGAAAUCUCCGAGCUUAACUUGGAAACUGCCGUUGAUACUAUAGGUCUUGAAUUAUCUGGAGGUAAGCGGAAUAUGUCAUGUAGCGGUGAAAUGCUUAGAUAUGACAUAGAACACCAAUUGCGAAGGCAGCUUACUACAUAUAAAUUGACGCUGAGGCACGAAAGCGUGUGGAUCAAACG
rnacentral:rRNA from 1 species